UACGUAGGGUGCAAGCGUUGUCCGGAUUUAUUGGGCGUAAAGAGCGUGUAGGCGGCCAGACAGGUCCGUUGUGAAAACUCGAGGCUCAACCUCGAGACGCCGGUGGAAACCAUCAGACUAGAGUCCGGAAGAGGAGAGUGGAAUUCCUGGUGUAGCGGUGAAAUGCGCAGAUAUCAGGAAGAACACCCGUGGCUAAGGCGGCUCUCUAGUACGGUACUGACGCUGAGACGCGAAAGCGUGGGGAGCGAACAGG
rnacentral:rRNA from 1 species